ACUCGAGUGGCGAACGGGUGAGUAACACGUGGGUGAUCUGCCCUGCACUUCGGGAUAAGCCUGGGAAACUGGGUCUAAUACCGAAUAGGAGCCAUUUUUAGUGUGAUGGUUGGAAAGUUUUUCGGUGUAGGAUGAGCUCGCGGCCUAUCAGCUUGUUGGUGGGGUAGUGGCCUACCAAGGCGGCGACGGGUAGCCGGCCUGAGAGGGUGGACGGCCACAUUGGGACUGAGAUACGGCCCAG
rnacentral:rRNA from 1 species